rnacentral:rRNA from 1 species
UACAGGGGGCUCGAGCGUUAGUCGGAAUCACUGGGCUUAAAGGGUGCGUAGGCGGCCCGCCAAGUGCUUUGUGAAAUCCCCGAGCUCAACUCGGGAACAGCAGGGCAAACUGGCGGGCUUGAAGCAGGUAGGGGCUGGAAGAACAGUUGGUGGAGCGGUGAAAUGCGUAGAUAUCAACUGGAAUGCCGAUGGGGAAGCCGUCCAGCUGGGCCUGUCUUGACGCUGAGGCGCGAAAGCGUGGGGAGCGAACAGG